AUACGGAGGGUGCAAGCGUUAUUCGGAAUCACUGGGCGUAAAGGACGCGUAGGCGGGUUGGCAAGUCAGAUGUGAAAUCCUACAGCUUAACUGUAGAACUGCAUUUGAAACUGCUAACCUAGAGUAUGGGAGGGGGAGAUGGAAUUAGUGGUGUAGGGGUAAAAUCCGUAGAUAUCGCUAGGAAUACCGAAAGCGAAGGCGAUCUCCUGGAACAUAACUGACGCUCAGGCGUGAAAGCGUGGGGAGCAAACGGGAUUAGAAACCCCAGUAGUCC
rnacentral:rRNA from 1 species